GAUGAACGCUGGCGGCGUGCCUAAUACAUGCAAGUAGAACGCUGAAGGAGGAGCUUGCUCUUCUGGAUGAGUUGCGAACGGGUGAGUAACGCGUAGGUAACCUGCCUGGUAGCGGGGGAUAACUAUUGGAAACGAUAGCUAAUACCGCAUGACAACAGUUAUUGCAUGAUAACUGUUUAAAAGGGGCAACUGCUCCACUACCAGAUGGACCUGCGUUGUAUUAGCUAGUUGGUGAGGUAACGGCUCACCAAGGCGACGAUACAUAGCCGACCUGAGAGGGGGAUCGGCCACACUGGGACUGAGACACGGCCCAGACUCCUACGGGAGGCAGCAGUAGGGAAUCUUCGGCAAUGGAGGGAAGUCUGACCGAGCAACGCCGCGUGAGUGAAGAAGGUUUUCGGAUCGUAAAGCUCUGUUGUAAGAGAAGAACGAGUGUGAGAGUGGAAAGUUCACACUGUGACGGUAGCUUACCAGAAAGGGACGGCUAACUACGUG
rnacentral:rRNA from 1 species